AUUGAACGCUGGCGGCAUGCCUUACACAUGCAAGUCGAACGGCAGCACGGGGCAACCUGGUGGCGAGUGGCGAACGGGUGAGUAAUGCAUCGGAACGUGCCAUUGAGUGGGGGAUAACGUAGCGAAAGUUGCGCUAAUACCGCAUAUUCUGUGAGCAGGAAAGCAGGGGACCGCAAGGCCUUGCGCUCUUUGAGCGGCCGAUGUCAGAUUAGCUAGUUGGUGAGGUAACGGCUUACCAAGGCGACGAUCUGUAGCGGGUCUGAGAGGAUGAUCCGCCACACUGGGACUGAGACACGGCCCAGACUCCUACGGGAGGCAGCAGUGGGGAAUUUUGGACAAUGGGCGCAAGCCUGAUCCAGCCAUGCCGCGUGAGUGAAGAAGGCCUUCGGGUUGGU
rnacentral:rRNA from 1 species